GUGGAUUAGAUACCCGGGUAGUCCACGCCCUAAACUAUGUCAACUAGUUGUCGGAUCUUAAUAGAUUUGGUAACGUAGCUAACGCGUGAAGUUGACCGCCUGGGGAGUACGGUCGCAAGAUUAAAACUCAAAGGAAUUGACGGGGACCCGCACAAGCGGUGGAUUAUGUGGAUUAAUUCGAUGCAACGCGAAAAACCUUACCUACCCUUGACAUGUCAAAAAGCUUUCAGAGAUGGAAGUGUGCCUGAAAGGGAAUUUGAGCACAGGUGCUGCAUGGCCGUCGCCAACU
rnacentral:rRNA from 1 species